GUCUCAGUGAAGUGGAGCACAUCAGUGAAAGGGUGAACUUAACCUUUCACUGGUGUGCUCCAUCUCACUCAGAC